rnacentral:rRNA from 1 species
UACGUAGGCAGCAAGCGUUGUUCGGAGUUACUGGGCGUAAAGGGUGUGUAGGCGGUUGCUUAAGUUUGGUGUGAAAUCUCCCGGCUCAACUGGGAGGGUGCGCCGAAUACUGAGUGACUAGAGUGCGGGAGAGGAAAGUGGAAUUCCUGGUGUAGCAGUGAAAUGCGUAGAGAUCGAGAGGAACACCAGUGGCGAAGGCGAGUCCCUGGACAACACCUGACGCUGAGGCACGAAAGCUAGGGGAGCAAACAGG